CGACCCCAGGUCAGGGGGGACUACCAA
rnacentral:rRNA from 1 species